CCGUCACACCAUGGGAGUGGGUUGCAAAAGAAGUAGGUAGCUUAACCUUCGGGAGGGCGCUUACCACUUUGUGAUUCAUGACUGGGGUGAAGUCGUAACAAGGUAACCGUAGGGGAACCUGCGGUUGGAUCACCUCCUUACCUUAAAGAAGC
rnacentral:rRNA from 3 species